rnacentral:rRNA from 1 species
AUUGAACGCUGGCGGUAGGCCUAACACAUGCAAGUCGAACGGCAGCACAGUAAGAGCUUGCUCUUACGGGUGGCGAGUGGCGGACGGGUGAGGAAUACAUCGGAAUCUACUUUUUCGUGGGGGAUAACGUAGGGAAACUUACGCUAAUACCGCAGACGACCUACGGGUGAAAGCAGCGGAUCUUCGGACCUUGCGCGAUUGAAUGAGCCGAUGUCGGAUUAGCUAGUUGGCGGGGUAAAGGCCCACCAAGGCGACGAUCCGUAGCUGGUCUGAGAGGAUGAUCAGCCACACUGGAACUGAGACACGGUCCAGACUCCUACGGGAGGCAGCAGUGGGGAAUAUUGGACAAUGGGCGCAAGCCUGAUCCAGCCAUACCGCGUGGGUGAAGAAGGCCUUCGGGUUGUAAAGCACUUUUGUUGGGAAAGAAAAGCAGCAGGUUAAUACCCCGCUGUUUUGACGGUACCAAAAGAAUAAGCACCGGCUAACUUCGUG